rnacentral:rRNA from 1 species
UGUGGUGAUGAUGGCUGAAGGAUAACCUGUUCCCAUGCCGAACACAGAAGUAGCUUCAACGCGCCGAAGUAGUUGGGGGAUCGCUCCCUGCGAGGAUAGGGACGUCGCCAGCA